rnacentral:rRNA from 1 species
AACGGCCGUACCAUGCUGAACAUACCGGUUCUCGUUAGAUCACCGAAGUCAAGCAUCAUUGGGCGCGGUCAGUACUUGGGUGGGUGACCACCUGGGAACACCGCGUGCC